AUGAACCAGAUUCAUGGCAGUUUAAUUGUCGCAAAUCUCGAGAAUGUCACUGGGAAGGAUGAAGCCUUAGAAUCGAAGUUGCAUCAGAAAAAUCAUCUUGGCAGCUUGCGACUUGUCUGGGGUUCCAAAAAUAACACAAAUGUAGAGGAUAGUUUACAUUUGAAGAUUCUAGAAGGCCUGAUGCCACCACCUCAACUUGGGCAUCUUACAAUUGACGGUUACAAAUCUUCAAAAGAAUUUCAUGAGGACAAACCACUUGGCAACGAUGAGGUGGAUUCAAGAUUAUGUAUUAGGAGGGCACUCUCAAGGGAGCAUUCGUAUCUGAAGCAGCUGAUGAUAUUUAUGCAUGUAGAUGUGGCACAUGUUCAAAAACUUGAAAAUGCUAUAAAAAGAGAGAAAGAUGAAGUAUUGGUAAAAGAGGAUGUCAUCAUGGCAUAUAUAUUGUGUCAUGAGGAGAGGAUGAGACUCAUCUAUGGAAGGAGCAUUGGGCUGCCGCUGGUUCCACCAUCAGGACUUUGUGAACUUGAACUUUCUUCAUGCAGUAUUACAGAUGGAGCUUUAGUUGUUUGCCUUGAUGGACUGGCUUCGCUGAAAAAAUUGGUCGUAUACUUGGAUUAUGACUUUAACCGCACUCCCUUCACAAUAGGUCUUCCAACAGUUGUACAAGCCCCACAACAUGCUCCCACCUCUGUACUGACUUCCUCUGUUGGUUGCCUCACCUCUGUCCAUUCACUCGUUCCGUGUAACUUGCCAGAUUUAUGUACGCUUGAAGGAUUGUCUAACCAGGAAUUUCAUCAGCAGGCCGGUGCAGGUGCGCUCCAGGCUCCAACAACCUGUUACAAGGUGGAGGGCCUCAGGUUGGCUCAUCUAUUCAACUGUUUCUCCUACUUCACUGGCCAGUGCAUAUCUCCUCGGUCGGACUCCUGCUUUGUUGAUUGCUUCAUGCAUUGCCAUCUCGCACUGAACCACCUCCUGUCCUCUUGGUGCCACUAUCACUAA
rnacentral:rRNA from 1 species